CGCGUGACAGACACGCUCACCAAAAGGAAAAGAACGAAAACAAGACGAAGAAGAAAAAGAAGAAGAAGACGUGCAAGCUUUUGCUCAAAUGUCUGUUUGGGAUUCGCGUUUGAUUUGAAAAUAUGAACGGAUGAAUGGCCGACGACGUCCACGUGAAGCAAGUCACGUGAGUGCUGUGUGAAGACGGACAUGAUACCGGACCCCGCGUCAGCAGCCGCGUCCGGACCUUCUGAGCUCAAUAGAAGCUCAAGCCAGGCCGAGGGAAAGUCCUCAGAAGCUGUCGACGAUUCCGAGGAUGAGUCCGGAAACGAGAACCGACGCCGCAGGGGGAGGCGGAGGAAAAGAACUCGCACGGAAGCGGAGAACGUCACGAGCAAAAAGGCCAAAAGCGGGCGCGGCCGCGGCCGUGAACGCCCCGACGCGGAGGCCGUCACUCUGUUCGAUGUCAUCGCCAUGGGUCCGAGCGCCAUGGCGGUGGUGAUCGACGGCUGGAAGGAGGCGUACGCCGAGGACCGAGACGCGGCCCUCCUCGACCUGGUCGGGUUCUUCGUCCGCUGCUGCGGCUGCAGAGGUGUGGUCACAGCCGAAAUGUGUCACGUCAGAGGCGACGGCGAGGCCGUGGACAAGAUGCUGGACGAGUUGGAGGAGGACCCGGAUGAGGUCGCCGGGCUGCAGUCCAAGAAGUUUCUGGCUUUUCCGUGGAUUCUCACCGUCACUUGGCCCACGCACGCGGACAGCGGCAAAUACCCGCUGAGCCAGCCGGCGCCGCGCGGCCGACGCUUCCACUCGGACCUGAGCGACUUUGUGCGGGUGCUGGUCCGCCGCUGCGGUUGCGGCCUGGUCUUCGACAGCUACUUGAUGACGGCGCUGGUGUCGCUGCUGUCCCACCUCUCCGACUGCCGGGUGCGCGCCUUCCGCCACACCUGCACGCUAGCAGCGGUAAAACUGCUGAGCUCGCUGAUCGAGGUGGCCGCCGACCUGAGCGUCGGUCUCGCAACGAGUCAAGACCUGCAGCGGGCGCCGAGGCCCAAGCGGCAGAAGGCCCGCGCGGAGCGAGCGCGACACAAGGCGGAGGAGCUGCGGGAGAAGAGAGCCGAGCUGGAGGGCACCAUGGACGUCCUCUUCAAGGCCGUCUUCCUCAAGCGAUAUCGGGACGUCCACCCGGAAAUCCGUUCCCUGUGCGUGGAGGAGUUGGCCCUGUGGAUGCGGCGCUACAGCUCCGUCUUCCUCAGCGACUGCCACCUCAAAUACUUGGACUGGGCGUCCUACGACAAGGUUCCGGACGUGCGUCUCAAGUGCGUUUUAGGCCUGCAGAGCUUAUACGGCGAUCCCGCCCUCCUGCCUCAACUGGACCUCUUCACCGCCCGCUUCAAGGAUCGUCUGAUCUCCAUGACGCUGGACAAAGACCACCAAGUGGCUUUGCAGGCCAUGAAGUUGCUGCUGCUCAUCUCCAAAACCUGCCCGGACGUGCUGAGCUCCGAGGACCAGGAGCUUCUCCUGCGGCUGGUUUAUUGCUCGCAGCGCCCCCUGGCGGCCGCGGCCGGCGAGCUGCUCUUCUUCAGACUCGUCAGCGCCGCCGACGACGAGCUGGCCGCUAACAAAAGUCCCGGGGAGUCUCCUCACCGGCAGAGUUUUGCAAGACUCAAGGCCCUGCUGGACUUCUUCCAGGCGUCUAAGCUGCACGAGCACGUGGUCUACCUGGUGGACAGCCUGUGGGACUGCAGCGGGGGCCUGCUGAAGGACUGGCCCGCCAUCACCUCCUUGCUGCUGCGAGACCCUCGGAGAGGUUCGCUCCCGUCGGCGGGCCUCGCCCGGGAGCAGGACGCGGCGCUGGCCGAGCUCGCGCUGGCCUCCGUGCGUCAGGCGUCCGAGGGGCCGGCGCCGGUCGGGAGGACCGGCGCCAAGAAGGUGAUGAGUUCCAGGGAGAAAAAAGUUCAGCUGGACGACUGCGCCGAGCUGACGCGGCAUUUCCUCAGCGCGCUGCCGCAGUUGCUGGCCAAGUUUUCAGAUCGCCCGGACGUGCUCGCGUCCUUGAUGACGAUUCCUCAGUACUUCCUGCCCGAGAGCCCCGAGGCCCGAAACGCACAGUCGGUCUCCGGACUCUUAUCGCAAAUGCGACUGGCCCUGGAGUUCCACGCCGACGCCGCCGUCCUGGAGGCGGCGUCCCGCUCCUUCCUGCGUCUUUGCGCGGAGGGGACCGCCUGGGCCCCCCCGGCGCGAGCCGCCAGAGAUUCCGUGGUCCGGGACUGGCUGGAGCAGCUGCGAGUCCCGCUGAGCGCCAGCCUGGAGAGUUGCGCCUUCUCUGCCGACGAGGGCCAAACGGGGGCCGUUUUAGUCCUGCUGCGUAAACUCUGCGCCUUCCACAACUGUCACGAUCUGUCGAGCUGGAACGUUUUCGGGCUGCUCUCGCCUCUCCUGCCGCUGCAAGGCUGCCCCUCUUGGCCGCCGCCUCAGGUACUGAAGGAAGUCUUGCAAUGUUUGUGUUACUGCGUUCUCUGGUCUCUGAGCCGAAGCGGCGACAUUCCGACCUCCAGGGAAGACGCCGAGCGCCAAAGGCUUCAGUUGCGUGUGCUCAGCGAGGCCAGCCGGCGUUGCCUCUCCCACGCCGACCGCGACGUCCGCCGGCAGGCCUUCGUGGGAGCGUGCGACGUCCUCAGCGCUCACUCCUACCAGCGGCGAUUGCGGCACCUCGGCCCCCGGGGGCCGCCGCCCUACGCGGCCACGCCCAAACUGCAGAUGGCGCUGUUGAACUUUGUGCGCCAGAACGUCUUCGUCCAGCCGGACCGCGACCACCAAAGCAAAGACGAGGAGACGCUGGAGGAUCUUGACGCCAGAAGACGGAUGCUCGCCGCCUACUGCAAGCUGGUCCUCGACGGCGUGCUGGACAUGAGCAUGGCGGCGGACAUCUUCACUUUCUACGUGACGCAUCAUCGCGACUUCGGCGACAUCAUCAAGGAGACGGUCCACAGGAGCCGAGCGCUCGACAGGUUGGGCAGCACUCGGGGGCUGGUGCUGGCCUUACAGCAGCCCUUUGAGCGUCUCCAGCGCCAGCGGGGCUCCGGCGGGACCUUGGACGGCCUGAGGGACUUGGCCAAAGGCCUGGCCCUCACCUUCGGGGACCCGGUCGAGCUCCGCGAGUGCGUGGUCCUCAUCCACAGGAGCGGCGUCGAAUUCGCCUUCCGGGACUGCGGAAGUUCCGCCCCGGCGUCGUUCCUGCCCUACUUGAGCGUCCUGGCCGAGUUUUCCGGCAAGCUGCUCAAACCGGACAAGAGGACCGUGCUGGCCUACCUGCAGAAGCACGCAUCCGAGUCGGCGGCGGGCCUGAGCGAGCGCCGCCGCCGGCCGUUGCUCCGCUACCGCGCCUCCCUAUCGGCCGAGGGGGACGACCGCGGCCCGGAUCGGAAGCGGACCGGACGCUGCGACGCGGCCGAGAACCAACAAGAAGGCGCCGAGUCGCACGGACCUCCGAGCCCGGCUGAGACCGCGGUGGCAAAAGUUGACACCUGGAGUCUCAGCAGCAAGAGCGUCCGCCGGGCGCGCGACGCCCUCGGGAAACGACGCCCGACCCGACCGGCGCUGGGCACUCGCCCGACUCCUCCGCCCGAUGAAGACGAAGAUGUGGACGUUGACAUCUGACAAGAUUUUGAUUUGGGGUGAAACGUUUUCAACAAACCCCCCCCCCCCCCCCCGGAAAUGACGACAGAGGGCCGUCCCCCCGGCGAUCCUGAAAACACACCAAGAGAACGCUGGCGUCAACUCCCGCGCGCGAGAAGCCGGCGGCGGCCUGCGCGUUCCGGGAGCUCGUAAGGUCUUCGCUUUCACAACUGCAAUCACGCGGGCCGUUGACAAACCGGCCAUCAUCUUGAAUUUAAAGCUCCACGCGUGGCUCCGACGCCCGCUCGGGGUCGCCAUCCCGCAGCCCUACGCUGUAGCACCUGUGACUCGAGAAGGCGGGACCGGGCACGACGAGCGAAUGAGAGGGCGGCGUCGCCUCGGGCCGGCUGUGAACUCGCUGACCGCUAGCUAGCAGGCGAGCGGCUGACGCGUACGUGUGCUCGUUACGCGUUUAUGACUACAAAACUAAUUCCGUGUCAUUGGAGGAAUAUGAGCAUUUCCAGCAGGUUGUCAGAAAAUGGAGUAGCGUGACUACAACUCGGGCUUUUCCUCUAGUUGGACACGAUCGAAACUGCAGCGAAGGAAGCGGCGGACGGUAACAAAGUCCACCGCGCGUCCACGUCCGGCACUAAUUAGCGCUCAUUUGUUCAGCGGGAUUCUCUUCACGGGGACGGCGGGCGGAACGGCCCCGGUGGCCACGGUGACGGCUUUGACAAAAGGCACGCCGAGAUGAGAGUUGUGGACGUUUCCUCACCAGGGGUGCUCCA